CACCGCCUGGGGAGUACGACCGCAAGGUUAAAACUCAAAUGAAUUGACGGGGACCCGCACAAGUAGUGGAGCAUGUGGUUUAAUUCGAAGAUACGCGCAGAACCUUACCAACACUUGACAUGUUCGUCGCGACUUUAAGAGAUUAAAGUUUUCGGUUCGGCCGGACGAAACACAGGUGCUGCAUGGCUGUCGUCAGCUCGUGUCGUGAGAUGUUGGGUUAAGUCCCGCAACGAGCGCAACCCUCACUUUUAGUUGCCAUCAUUUAGUUGGGCACUCUGAAAGAACUGCCAGUGAUAAGCUGGAGGAAGGUGGGGAUGACGUCAAGUCCUCAUGGCCCUUACGUGUUGGGCUACACACGUGCUACAAUGGUAUCUACAACAGGAAGCAAAACGGCGACGUUAAGCAAAUCCUUAAAAGUUACCUCAGUUCGGAUUGCACUCUGCAACUCGAGUGCAUGAAGCUGGAAUUACUAGUAAUCGUGGAUCAGCGUGCCACGGUGAAUGCGUUCCCGGGUCUUGUACACACCGCCCGUCACACCAUGGGAGUUGGUUCUACCUUAAGGCAAGGUUUUAAACCCUUGACCACGGUAUAGUCAGCGACUGGGGUGAAGUCGUAACAAGGUAGCCGUAGGGGAACCUGCGGCUGGAUUACCUCCUUUCUAAGGAUGAAUGAAAUUUUAAUUUCAUUCUAAAUAAUUUACAUAGGCAAUGUUGACCGUCCUCAUUUCUCUUCUUAAAUUAGUGUUUCUCUUGCAUGGGGGCCGGUAGCUCAGUUGGUUAGAGCACACCCUUGAUAAGGGUGGGGUCGAAAGUUCGAGUCUUUCUCGGCCCACCAAUUUAAGAUCAUGGGGGGAUUAGCUCAGCUGGGAGAGCGCCUGAUUUGCAUUCAGGAGGUCAGCGGUUCGAUCCCGCUAUCCUCCACCAAACACUUAGUUAUCAAAAUUGUGAAUAAAUAAUAAUUAAUAUCAAUAUCUAUAUCCGAACAUUAGUAAUGUUAUUAACUAAUGUUCAUCAAUAAAAAAUUUGAUUCAACACAGAAUUUUUUUCUG
rnacentral:sRNA from 1 species